UACGGGGGGGGCAAGCGUUGUUCGGAAUUACUGGGCGUAAAGGGCUUGUAGGUGGCCAACUAAGUCAGACGUGAAAUCCCUCAGCUUAACUGGGGAACUGCUUCUGAUACUGGAUGGCUUGAGUUUGGGAGAGGGAUGCGGAAUUCCAGGUGUAGCGGUGAAAUGCGUAGAUAUCUGGAGGAACACCGGUGGCGAAGGCGGCAUCCUGGACCAACACUGACACUGAGGAGCGAAAGCCAGGGGAGCAAACGGG
rnacentral:rRNA from 1 species